rnacentral:rRNA from 1 species
GAUGAACGCUGGCGGCGUGCUUAACACAUGCAAGUCGAACGAACCUUCGGGUUAGUGGCGGACGGGUGAGUAACGCGUGGGAAUCUGCCCUCAGGAGGGGGAUAACGGCUGGAAACGGCCGCUAAUACCCCAUAUGCCGAGAGGUGAAAUGAAUUUCGCCUGAGGAUGAGCCCGCGUCUGAUUAGCUAGUUGGUGGGGUAAAGGCCCACCAAGGCGACGAUCAGUAGCUGGUCUGAGAGGAUGAUCAGCCACACUGGGACUGAGACACGGCCCAGACUCCUACGGGAGGCAGCAGUGGGGAAUUUUCCGCAAUGGGCGAAAGCCUGACGGAGCAACGCCGCGUGAGGGAUGAAGGCCUCUGGGCUGUAAACCUCUUUUCUCAAGGAAGAAGACAUGACGGUACUUGAGGAAUAAGCCACGGCUAAUUCCGUGCCAGCAGCCGCGGUAAUACGGGAGUGGCAAGCGUUAUCCGGAAUUAUUGGGCGUAAAGCGUCCGCAGGCGGCCUUGUAAGUCUGUCGUUAAAGCGUGGAGCUUAACUCCAUUUAAGCGAUGGAAACUACAAGGCUUGAGUGUGGUAGGGGCAGAGGGAAUUCCCGGUGUAGCGGUGAAAUGCGUAGAUAUCGGGAAGAACACCAGUGGCGAAGGCGCUCUGCUGGGCCAUAACUGACGCUCAUGGACGAAAGCCAGGGGAGCGAAAGGGAUUAGAUACCCCUGUAGUCCUGGCCGUAAACGAUGAACACUAGGUGUCGGGGGAAUCGACCCCCUCGGUGUCGUAGCCAACGCGUUAAGUGUUCCGCCUGGGGAGUACGCACGCAAGUGUGAAACUCAAAGGAAUUGACGGGGGCCCGCACAAGCGGUGGAGUAUGUGGUUUAAUUCGAUGCAACGCGAAGAACCUUACCAGGGUUUGACAUCCUGCGAAUCCCUUGGAAACGAGGGAGUGCCUUCGGGAGCGCAGAGACAGGUGGUGCAUGGCUGUCGUCAGCUCGUGUCGUGAGAUGUUGGGUUAAGUCCCGCAACGAGCGCAACCCACGUCUUUAGUUGCCAGCAUUCAGUUGGGCACUCUAGAGAGACCGCCGGUGAUAAACCGGAGGAAGGUGUGGAUGACGUCAAGUCAUCAUGCCCCUUACAUCCUGGGCUACACACGUACUACAAUGCUACGGACAAAGGGCAGCAAGCUCGCGAGAGUUAGCAAAUCCCAUAAACCGUGGCUCAGUUCAGAUCGUAGGCUGCAACUCGCCUACGUGAAGGAGGAAUCGCUAGUAAUCGCAGGUCAGCAUACUGCGGUGAAUACGUUCCCGGGCCUUGUACACACCGCCCGUCACACCAUGGAAGUUGGCCAUGCCCGAAGUCGUUACUCCAACCCUUGUGGAGGAGGACGCCGAAGGUGGGGCUGAUGACUGGGGUG